rnacentral:rRNA from 1 species
GAUGAACGCUGGCGGCGUGCCUAAUACAUGCAAGUCGAGCGAACGGACGAGAAGCUUGCUUCUCUGAUGUUAGCGGCGGACGGGUGAGUAACACGUGGAUAACCUACCUAUAAGACUGGGAUAACUUCGGGAAACCGGAGCUAAUACCCGAUAAUAUUUUGAACCGCAUUGUUCAAAAGUGAAAGACGGUCUUGCUGGCACUUAUAGAUGGAUACGCCCUGCAUUAGCUAGUUGGUAAGGUAACGGGUUACCAAGGCAACGAUGGAUAGCCGACCUGAGAGGGUGAUCGGCCACACGGGAACUGAGACAGGGUCCAGACUCCUACGGGAGGCAGCAGUAGGGAAUCUUACGCAAUGGGCGAGAGCCUGACGGAGCAACGCCGCGUGAGUGAUGAAGGUCUUCGGAUCGUAAAACUCUGUUAUUAGGGAAGAACAUAUGUGUAAGUAACUGUGCACAUCUUGACGGUACCUAAUCAGAAAGCCACGGCUAACUACGUG